AUUGAACGCUGGCGGCAGGCCUAACACAUGCAAGUCGAGCGGUAGAGAGAAGCUUGCUUCUCUUGAGAGCGGCGGACGGGUGAGUAAUGCCUAGGAAUCUGCCUGGUAGUGGGGGAUAACGUUCGGAAACGGACGCUAAUACCGCAUACGUCCUUCGGGAGAAAGCAGGGGACCUUCGGGCCUUGCGCUAUCAGAUGAGCCUAGGUCGGAUUAGCUAGUUGGUGAGGUAAUGGCUCACCAAGGCGACGAUCCGUAACUGGUCUGAGAGGAUGAUCAGUCACACUGGAACUGAGACACGGUCCAGACUCCUACGGGAGGCAGCAGUGGGGAAUAUUGGACAAUGGGCGAAAGCCUGAUCCAGCCAUGCCGCGUGUGUGAAGAAGGUCUUCGGAUUGUAAAGCACUUUAAGUUGGGAGGAAGUGCAGUAACCUAAUACGUUAUUGUUUUGACGUUACCGACAGAAUAAGCACCGGCUAACUUCGUGCCAGCAGCCGCCGUAA
rnacentral:rRNA from 1 species